GCACUGUGCUAGAUCUGGAAAUACAGAAAUGAAAGAGGCAGUUCCUGCCAUCAGGGACCUUUCUGUUUAAGGAGAGAAACUGAGGAUCAGGAAGUUAUCUAACUUCCUGAGGUUUUUUUGGACCUCACUUUCCUGAGAGGUUUUGGAGAAAAGGAAAUCUUGAUCACCUUAAAUGCCUUUUCUCUGAUUUCAGAGAGAUCAGCUUCUGAGCUGCAAUCCUCAUGACCUUUUUUCCCUUGCUAAUGCCCAAUACACUAUUAAUAUUGAUUCUUUCAUCAAAAUAAACACCAAAGCCCAA